rnacentral:rRNA from 1 species
AGCGUAGGCGGUUUUGCAAGUCAGAAGUGAAAGGCUACGGCUCAACCGUGGUAAGCUUUUGAAACUGCAGGACUAGAGUGCAGGAGAGGCAAGUGGAAUUCCUAGUGUAGAGGUGAAAUUCGUAGAUAUUAGGAGGAACACCAGUGGCGAAGGCGACUUGCUGGACUGUAACUGACGCUGAGGCUCGAAAGCGUGGGGAGCGAACA